AUAUCUACAUAUGUAGAUUAGAAACUUUCGGUCGGGUUCAGUUUAAUUUUGAUCGGGUUAGUUAAUACAUUGUUGAGUCUUUUGAUCAGCAUGGACAUGGUUUGAUGUGUGUUCGGUACCACAUAACAUGCGAGAAUACCUUCUCCGGUAUGUUGGAGAGAAGAUUAGCAAGAAAAAAUCGCGUGAGAAAAUGAGAAGUUGACAGAAAAAGAUUUUUUUCAUUAUCGAAAGGGACAUGUACAACAUCCAUAAUGGUGUGUCUGAUGGAAUUUGUCAUUUCAUUAAUAAAUAAUGCUGAUAAAGAUGCAAACUUAGCAAUUGUGCCUAAAAAGUGACAGCUUUGACAAGGAAAUAUAUCCAUAUAUAACAGUUACUGGUACUGUCUGAAUGCAGUGAAAGGAUCCAGAUGAACAGAUGAAGAGAUUAAGUACAAUGUACAUCAAUUACUUGGAUGAAGAGAAUCUGCAACAUGGGGAAAUAAUGUUCCUAUAGAAAAGUCAAAGAAUGUAUACAUGUGAGAUUCUGAAGUAGCCGUACAUGAUGAGUAGGAAUUUGAAGUGAAUUAUGGGAAAAGUGAAAUGGUAAAAAAGAAACUGCUAGCGCUACUGUGCAGACUACCAUCAAUCAACAUGAUCAACAAAAUCAAGUAAUCCUUCUGAAGAUGGAGUAGUACACAAGCACAAUUUUUUAAAGAAAGAAAAGUCAAUGGAAUGAAAGCCAAAGAAAAGGUGAAGUGAAUUGUCACUCAUUAUAUUUUAAAUUUAAUGUGGACAUGGUCAUUAUUUUAGUUAUGUCAUAACCUUCUUAUCAAUUUUAAGCAGUGCAGACAGAUGCAUUUCUUAUUGCUUUGAAUAGAAUAAAUUAUCAAAAAAGUUUGUAUAUG